UACGUAGGGGGCUAGCGUUGUCCGGAUUUAUUGGGCGUAAAGAGCGUGUAGGCGGCCAGGUAGGUCUGCUGUGAAAACUCGAGGCUCAACCUCGAGACGUCGGCGGAAACCAUCUGGCUAGAGUCCGGAAGAGGAGAGUGGAAUUCCUGGUGUAGCGGUGAAAUGCGUAGAUAUCAGGAGGAAUACCGGUGGUGUAGACGGCUCUCGGGACCGCCACUGACGCUGAGACACGAAAGCGUGGGUAGCAAACAGG
rnacentral:rRNA from 1 species